UCAAGGAAGAAAGGGCGUACGGAGAAUGCCUGGGCACAGAGAGGCGAUGAAGGACGCAGCGAACAGCGAAAUGCGGCGGCGAGCGGUAAGCACGCGAUGACCCGCCGAUAUCCGAAUGGGGAAACCCCUCCGCUCAAGAAGCGGAGACCGCAUGACGACCGUCAUGACGGGGCGAUACGCAGGGAACUGAAACAUCUAAGUACCUGCAGGAAGAGAAAGAGAAGUCGAUUCCGUAAGUAGCGGCGAGCGAAAGCGGAGGAGCCCAAACCGGACAUAGUCCGGGGUUGUAGGACCGCCGAUAAAGAUGACAUGAAGAGUCAGGAGAAUCCCAUGGGAAGGGGAUCCGCAGAGGGUGAGAGACCCGUAUCCGAAGGCUCGGCAUGGAUCGAGGCGGCACCUGAGUACGGCGGGGCACGUGGAAUCCUGCCGGAAUCAUCGGGGACCAUCCCGAAAGGCUAAACACUACUCUGUGACCGAUAGCGAACCAGUACCGUGAGGGAAAGGUGAAAAGAACCCCGGGAGGGGAGUGAAAAAGAACCUGAAACCAUAUGUUUACAAGCUGUGGAACCACUUUAAAUGUGGAACCGCGUACUUUUUGUAGAACGGUCCGGCGAGUUGCGCUGGCUGGCGAGGUUAAGCACUUGAGGUGCGGAGCCGAAGGGAAACCAAGUCUUAAUAGGGCCAGAGUCAGUCAGAGCAGACCCGAAACCGGGUGAUCUAUCCAUGUCCAGGUUGAAGUUGCCGUAAAAGGCAAUGGAGGACCGAACCCACAUCCGUUGAAAAGGGUGGGGAUGAGGUGUGGAUAGGGGAGAAAUUCCAAUCGAACCCGGAGAUAGCUGGUUCUCCUCGAAAUAGCUUUAGGGCUAGCCUCGAUACAGAUUUGCGGAGGUAGAGCACUGAAUUUCCUAGGGGGCGUCAAAGCCUACCGAAGAAUAUCAAACUCCGAAUGCCGCGUAAUCGAUUAUCGGGAGUCAGACUGCACGAGAUAAGUUGGGCGGUCAAAAGGGAAAGAGCCCAGACCUACAGCUAAGGUCCCAAAGUGCGUGUUAAGUGGAAAAGGAUGUGGGAUUUCGAAGACAACUAGGAUGUUGGCUCAGAAGCAGCCAUACAUUCAAAGAGUGCGUAAUAGCUCACUAGUCGAGAGGUCCUGCGCCGAAAAUGUCCGGGGCUGAAACGCGCCACCGAAACUAAGGAACCGAAAGGUUGGUAGAGGAGCAUUGCAUGCGGGAAGAAGCAGUACCGUAAGGAGCUGUGGACUGCAUGGAAGAGAGAAUGCCGGAAUGAGUAGCGAGAAUAAGGUGAGAAUCCUUAUGGCCGAAUAUCCAAGGUUUCCAGAGUAAAGCUGAUCUGCUCUGGGUAAGUCGGGGCCUAAGGCGAGGACGAGAGUCGUAGCCGAUGGACAACAGGUGGAGAUUCCUGUACUGCGGUAUGACAGAACUGUGGGGACACGUAAGGAAAGCGGAAGCCGGGAAUGGAAAGCCCGGUGCAAGCGGGGUACCAGUCACUUUGGCAAAUCCGGGUGGCAAUGGGAAGCCGUGAUGCGGAGCGAAAUAAAGUAGCGAAGUCCGUGAGCCAUGCGUCAAGAAAAGCCGCUAUUGUUUAUACCGUACCCGUACCGUAAACCGACACAGGUGGAUGAGGAGAGAAUCCUAAGGCCGGCGGGAGAAGCAUUGUUAAGGAACUCGGCAAAAUGACCCCGUAACUUCGGGAGAAGGGGUGCCAUCGAAAGAUGGCCGCAGAGAAUAGGCUCAAGCAACUGUUUAGCAAAAACACAGGUCUAUGCGAAACCGAAAGGUGAGGUAUAUGGGCUGACGCCUGCCCGGUGCUGGAAGGUUAAGGGGAGAGGUUAGCGCAAGCGAAGCUUUGAACUUAAGCCCCAGUAAACGGCGGCCGUAACUAUAACGGUCCUAAGGUAGCGAAAUUCCUUGUCGGGUAAGUUCCGACCUGCACGAAUGGUGUAAUGAUCUGGACACUGUCUCAACCGUGAGCUCAGUGAAAUUGUAGUAUCGGUGAAGAUGCCGAUUACCCGCGAUGGGACGAAAAGACCCCGUGAACCUUUACUAUAGCUUAUCAUUGAAUCUGGGCACGUGAUGUGUAGGAUAGGUCGGAGGCUUUGAAGGGGGUACGCCAGUAUCCUUGGAGCCGCUGUUGAAAUACGACCCUUCAUUUGUUUGGAUUCUAACCCGUGUAUAUGGGGACACUGAUUGGUGGGUAGUUUGACUGGGGUGGUCGCCUCCAAAAGCGUAACGGAGGCUUCUAAAGGUGCCCUCACGGCGAUUGGUAACCGCCGUUAGAGUGUAAUGGCAUAAGGGCGCUUGACUGGGAGACUGACAAGUCGAUCAGGUAGGAAACUAGAGCAUAGUGAUCCGGUGUUUCCGUAUGGAAGGGACAUCGCUCAAAGGAUAAAAGGUACUCCGGGGAUAACAGGCUGAUCCCUCCCAAGAGCUCAUAUCGACGGAGUGGUUUGGCACCUCGAUGUCGGCUCGUCACAUCCUGGGGCUGGAGAAGGUCCCAAGGGUUGGGCUGUUCGCCCAUUAAAGUGGCACGCGAGCUGGGUUCAGAACGUCGUGAGACAGUUCGGUCUCUAUCUAUCGUGGGCGUAUGAAAUUUGCGUGGCUCUGACACUAGUACGAGAGGACCGUGUUGGACAGACCUCUGGUUUACCGGUUGUGCCGCCAGGUGCAUUGCCGGGUAUCUAAGUCUGGAUCGGAUAAGUGCUGAAAGCAUCUAAGUACGAAGCCGGCCACAAGAUUAGAUUUCUGAGGGUCGUUGUAGACUACGACGUUGAUAGGAUGCAGGUGUAAAGGUAGAGAUACCAAAGCCGAGCAUUACUAAUUGCCCGUCCACUUUCCUUA
rnacentral:rRNA from 1 species